rnacentral:lncRNA from 1 species
UGGCGAGGAGCGGGGGCAGGGAGCGCCGGGGCGGCUCGGGCCCUGACACCCGGCCUCCGGGCGCGGAAUGCGCGGCGCGGCGAGUGCCAGCGCCGGGGCCCCUGCUUUGGGAACGAAAUGUGUGCUAUGCCAGCCCUCUCCCUGCCCUCCCGCUGUUCUAUUUGUGGCAGCGAGUGCCCAGGAGGACCUCCUCGGGGAGAGAAAGGCGGCCUCGAGCUCGGGGCGGCAGAGAGCCAGGCUGCCUUCACCUUCCCCUGGACCAUCACCUGGCCCGGGGUGCCCUUUGCCCUCGCGGCGCCCACACGCCCUUCCACCCAGAGAGAGCAGCCCCACGUCCAUUGCUCGUGCCAGCUAGUAAGAGCCAAUGUCUGCGUCGUGUGCCAGAGUCGUGCGAUCAGACACGUUGUAUCAUGGGUGGGUAUCUCAUAGGGUGGACAGGCAGCGCCAUUUGUUCUUUAUCCUGCGGCCGGUCACCAAUGCCAGCCAGUGGCCACCCCAGCCUCGUGGGUCUGGUGGCAGUGGACCCGUCAGAGGCUGCCUCCUCGGGGCAUGGAGUGGCAUACCCCAGGUCCCGACCGUCAGGUACCCCGAGUCCACAGCCAGGGGGGCUGGCUUGCUUUCUCCAGAGGCACGGGGAUGACCAGCUGUUAGCCCACCCAGGCCACCCAGGGAGUUGGCGAGACCUGGCAAAAAAGGGGCUGGUGGGUUUCUCUGAGGAACCCCCCUCAGUGAGAGAGGUGGACACAGCCUGCUGUUCGCCACGUAGACCUUGUCACACACCCGGGAUGUGGGACAGCGUUCUCCAGAGAAAGAGGAUCGAUAUGUGAAGAGGCUGGUUUUAAAGAAUGGCUCGGGGGAAUGGCAAGUCCAAAAUCUGUAGGACAGGCCAGCGGGCUGGACAGCAGAGCUGCCGGGGCCCGAGGCGGGAUUUCUUCU